UACGUAGGGUGCAAGCGUUGUCCGGAAUUAUUGGGCGUAAAGAGCUCGUAGGCGGUUUGUCGCGUCUGCUGUGAAAACUCGGGGCUUAACCCCGGGCCUGCAGUGGGUACGGGCAGACUAGAGUGCGGUAGGGGAAACUGGAAUUCCUGGUGUAGCGGUGAAAUGCGCAGAUAUCAGGAGGAACACCGGUGGCGAAGGCGGGUCUCUGGGCCGUAACUGACGCUGAGGAGCGAAAGCGUGGGGAGCGAACAGG
rnacentral:rRNA from 1 species